AGCAGGGUCAGCUAAAUAAGCUAUCGGGCCCAUACCCCGAAAAUGCCACACAGGCCCCUGCUA
rnacentral:tRNA from 1 species